AUGUAAUUUGUGUUUAACUGCAAUUGGCAAUGAAUACCAUUAUUUAUUUGAAUGCAAUUCUUUAUUAGUAAAAAAUAUCAGAAAUCAGCAUAUUCCAGAGUACUAUGUGAAAUAUCGAAGUGAAGCAAAAAUGAAAGGACUACUGUCAUUGACUAAUAUUAACGUACUUAAAAAUGUGUCUUUAUUCAUUUCAAAGUUAACUAAAAUAUUAUAAUAUAAAGUAAAGUAAUUUUCUAUAUAUUUCAUUUCUAAGUUGUUUUAUUUAUUUCUUUAUUUGUAU
rnacentral:lncRNA from 1 species